AAUACUGUGUUUUUGAUCUGCAUUUGGUUUGGGAAAAGUCUGCAUAGUUCAAACCUGUGUUGUUCAAGGAUCAGCUGUAUGUGC
rnacentral:miRNA from 1 species